rnacentral:rRNA from 2 species
AAAUUGAAGAGUUUGAUCAUGGCUCAGAUUGAACGCUGGCGGCAGGCCUAACACAUGCAAGUCGAACGGUAACAGGAAACAGCUUGCUGUUUCGCUGACGAGUGGCGGACGGGUGAGUAAUGUCUGGGAAACUGCCCGAUGGAGGGGGAUAACUACUGGAAACGGUAGCUAAUACCGCAUAACGUCGCAAGACCAAAGAGGGGGACCUUCGGGCCU